rnacentral:lncRNA from 1 species
GUUCUAACUUUGUUGAUCUAGGCUUGAGGAUGAUGUUGCAAGCUGUAUAUACGUCUGGCCUCUAGGAGUCAUCUACACAAGCCCACGAAUCUCGAUCAGAAGUCCUGAUCCAGGAAAUUAGCACAGUAUGCUAAUACUGCGCUGAUCCUUCUUCGAUGGUCAAUCAGAUACCUCUUUCUUUUUGAUUUGAGCUCUUCUAAAGAUGAGAAGUAGGAGAAAGAUUUUUAGAUGAGACACUCUCAGAAAACUCACAU